UGAUCCGCGUAGUAAGCCUAUGCGGACAACACAUCAUAGCAUGCAUAUGCGGACACGAUCCGCAUGGUACUGUCCAUGCGGACACGAUCCGCAUGGUACUGUCUAUGAUGCUGUCUUCCGCAUAAUGAUGUCUAUGAGGACAUCUUGCGCAUAACGAUGCAUCUUGCGCAUAACGAUGCCUAUGCGUCCGCACAGGAAGGAUAUAUCUGCUGACCUGCGUGCGCAUUGGACUCUGUGCGGGUUAGUCGUCCGCAUAUGAAUAUCUAUGCGGGAAUCAUCAUCAUAGUACUUUUAUGAGGUCGUAUAUGCAUACGCAUAAUAAUGUCUCUGCGGAUGAUGACCGCAUAGUAAAAUCUACGCGGAAGAUGUCCCGUUCAUAAAUUAUGAGGACAGUGUCCGCAUCGUAAAAUCUAUGCGGAUGGAGUCCGCAUAGGAACGUCUAUGCAGACGUAAGGACGUCUUCCGCAUAGUAAUGUCCAUGCGGACAUACGUCCGCAUCGUAAGUUCUAUGAGGAACUGCGUCCAAAGUACGACGUCCUAUGCGCACGUCGUCCCAUGUGGACG
rnacentral:lncRNA from 1 species